rnacentral:rRNA from 1 species
AGAGUUUGAUCAUGGCUCAGGAUGAACGCUGGCGGCGUGCUUAACACAUGCAAGUCGAACGGAGUAUAUUUAAAGCUUGCUUUGUUAUACUAGUGGCGGACGGGUGAGUAACGCGUGGGUAACCUGCCUUAUACCGGGGGACAACAGUUGGAAACGACUGCUAAUACCGCAUAAGCGCACGAUGAGGCAUCUCAUUGUGUGAAAAAACUCCGGUGGUAUAAGAUGGACCCGCGUCUGAUUAGCCAGUUGGCGGUGUAACGGACCACCAAAGCGACCGAUCAGUAGCCGGCCUGAGAGGGCAAACGGCCACAUUGGGACUGAGACACGGCCCAAACUCCUACGGGAGGCAGCAGUGGGGAAUAUUGCACAAUGGAGGAAACUCUGAUGCCAGCGACGCCGCGUGAGUGAAGAAGUAUUUCGGUAUGUAAAGCUCUAUCAGCAGGAAAGAAAAUGACGGUACCUGACUAAGAAGCCCCGGCUAACUACGUGCCAGCAGCCGC